UACGUAGGGGGCAAGCGUUGUCCGGAAUUACUGGGCGUAAAGAGCACGUAGGCGGCUUUUUAAGUCAGGUGUGAAAUAUCCCGGCUCAACCGGGAGGGUGCACUUGAUACUGGGAAGCUAGAGUGCAGGAGAGGAAAGUGGAAUUCCUAGUGUAGCGGUGAAAUGCGUAGAUAUUAGGAGGAACACCAGUGGCGAAGGCGGCUUUCUGGACUGUAACUGACGCUGAGGUGCGAAAGCCAGGGGAG
rnacentral:rRNA from 1 species